CCUACGGGAGGCAGCAGUAAGGAAUAUUGGUCAAUGGACGAAAGUCUGAACCAGCCAUGCCGCGUGAAGGAUGAAGGCCCUCUGGGUUGUAAACUUCUUUUAUCUGGGACGAAAAAGGGAAUUCUUUCCCACUUGACGGUACCAGAGGAAUAAGCACCGGCUAACUCCGUGCCAGCAGCCGCGGUAAUACGGAGGGUGCAAGCGUUAUCCGGAUUUACUGGGUUUAAAGGGUGCGUAGGUGGGUAGGUAAGUCAGUGGUGAAAUCUCCGAGCUUAACUCGGAAACUGCCAUUGAUACUAUCUAUCUUGAAUAUCCUGGAGGUGAGCGGAAUAUGUCAUGUAGCGGUGAAAUGCUUAGAUAUGACAUAGAACACCAAUUGCGAAGGCAGCUCACUACGGGAUUAUUGACACUGAGGCACGAAAGCGUGGGGAUCAAACAGGAUUAGAUACCCUGGUAGUCCACGCCCUAAACGAUGGAUACUCGACAUACGCGAUACACUGUGUGUGUNUGAGNGAAGANAUAGUAUACCACCNCGGAGUAGAGCGCAGAUAGAACGACAAAGAAGUAGAGCGNGAGACGAGACGACGGACGACGACGAGGGGAGGAGG
rnacentral:rRNA from 1 species